GAUGAACGCUGGCGGCGUGCCUAAUACAUGCAAGUCGAGCGAACAGACGAGGAGCUUGCUCCUCUGAUGUUAGCGGCGGACGGGUGAGUAACACGUGGAUAACCUACCUAUAAGACUGGGAUAACUUCGGGAAACCGGAGCUAAUACCGGAUAACAUGUUGAACCGCAUGGUUCAACAGUGAAAGACGGUCUUGCUGUCACUUAUAGAUGGAUCCGCGCCGCAUUAGCUAGUUGGUAAGGUAACGGCUUACCAAGGCAACGAUGCGUAGCCGACCUGAGGGGGUGAUCAGCCACACUGGAACUGAGACACGGUCAAGACUCCUACGGGAGGCAGCAGUAGGGAAUCUUCCGCAAUGGGCGAAAGCCUGACGGAGCAACGCCGCGUGAGUGAAGAAGGUCUUCGGAUCGUAAAACUCUGUUAUUAGGGAAGAACAAAUGUGUAAGUAACUAUGCACGUCUUGACGGUACCUAAUCAGAAAGCCACGGCUAACUACGUG
rnacentral:rRNA from 1 species